AUUCAGCCCUCGUUCUUACUAGCCCAUUCGUCUCAAAAAGCUAAGCAUCGAUCUGAUGGCGCCAUCACGGAGGAAUCUCUCUGCCACAGCCGUUGUCUUCCUCUUAGUCAUCGUCAUGACCGCCGAGAUGGCCUCCGUUGGGGCAGACAUCUGCAACUGCAGGCACCUGAGCAGCACAUAUAAGGACGAGUGCGACACCGGCAUCCUCUCCUGCGACGAGACAUGCAGAAACGAAAGCGGUGGCAACACUGGCGGCUCUUGCUUCGACGACCCCCCUAGUUGCUACUGCUUUACCAACUGCUAGCUUGACCUAGCUGAGAUCGACAAUCCCAUCAUCCCUGCUAGGCCACGCAUCCGUGUAAUAGAAAUAUAAAUAAUGUUUAAUUAUGCGAUGGUAACUGGUUAAUUAAUACUAUGUUGUGACAAAUAAAAUUUGUUGGAACCUGUGGAUCCAACAAUUUAUUAGGGGCCGGCAUGGUGCAGCCACCAGCUGUAUAUGUUUAUCCUUUAAGGCAAGAUCAUAUAUAAUAAUAAAAGCUUGG
rnacentral:lncRNA from 7 species